rnacentral:sRNA from 413 species
UGUAUCUGAAGUCUGACGAGGAUGAGAACCUCCGGGGGCAAGAGGUUCGACUCGAGCGAAGCGAGAGAACGUUGCGUCAGCAACGGCCCGCAGGGCGAGCCACGCAGUGGCGAGUCAUCCUCUAUCACCGACCA